rnacentral:rRNA from 1 species
CCAGACUCCUACGGAGGCAGCAGUGGGGAAUCUUCCGCAAUGGACGAAAGUCUGACGGAGCAACGCCGCGUGAGUGAUGACGGCCUUCGGGUUGUAAAGCUCUGUUAAUCGGGACGAAAGGCCUUCUUGCGAAUAGUGAGAAGGAUUGACGGUACCGGAAUAGAAAGCCACGGCUAACUACGUGCCAGCAGCCGCGGUAAUACGUAGGUGGCAAGCGUUGUCCGGAAUUAUUGGGCGUAAAGCGCGCGCAGGCGGAUAGGUCAGUCUGUCUUAAAAGUUCGGGGCUUAACCCCGUGAUGGGAUGGAAACUGCCAAUCUAGAGUAUCGGAGAGGAAAGUGGAAUUCCUAGUGUAGCGGUGAAAUGCGUAGAUAUUAGGAAGAACACCAGUGGCGAAGGCGACUUUCUGGACGAAAACUGACGCUGAGGCGCGAAAGCCAGGGGAGCGAACGGGAUUAGAUACCCCGGUAGUCCUGGCCGUAAACGAUGGGUACUAGGUGUAGGAGGUAUCGACCCCUUCUGUGCCGGAGUUAACGCAAUAAGUACCCCGCCUGGGGAGUACGACCGCAAGGUUGAAACUCAAAGGAAUUGACGGGGGCCCGCACAAGAAGGGCGAAUUC